rnacentral:pre_miRNA from 1 species
GACACCUGGGAUCUUGUCAAAAUGAAGAUUCUGAUUCAAUAGAUCUUCAGUGUCCAAGAAUCUGCAUUUCUAGCAAGCUCUCAGGUGAUGCCAA